CCGUGCAGCCGGGGCAGUAGCGGAGCCUUGUACCUACAAUCCGCUCUAGUAGGGGUGAUGUUUUACGGAGGGCUUUAGCUUGUAUAGCUGCCCUUUAUAAGUGGCGUUGAAGUUUGGGUCUUACGCAAUGGGAAUCCACGAACCGUGUCAGGUUGGGAACAAAGCAGCACUAAGUGGAACCUUCCAUGUGCCGUGAGGGUGCCUGGGCGGAGCUAACUGUAAAGGUAACGUGUAUGGGCGUGGUUCGAAGUAAAAUGCACGG
rnacentral:SRP_RNA from 1 species